rnacentral:rRNA from 1 species
UACGUAGGUGGCAAGCGUUGUCCGGAUUUACUGGGCGUAAAGGGCGCGUAGGCGGUCGUGACAAGUCACUUGUGAAAUCUCCGGGCUUAACUCGGAACGGUCAAGUGAUACUGUCGGACUAGAGUACAGAAGGGGCAACUGGAAUUCUCGGUGUAGCGGUGAAAUGCGUAGAUAUCGAGAGGAACACCUGCGGCGAAGGCGGGUUGCUGGGCUGAUACUGACGCUGGAGGCGCGAAAGCUAGGGGAGCGAACGGG